rnacentral:rRNA from 1 species
CACGACUACGAGUUUGAUCCUGGCUCAGAGCGAACGCUGGCGGCAGGCCUAACACAUGCAAGUCGAACGAACUCUUCGGAGUUAGUGGCGGACGGGUGAGUAACACGUGGGAACGUGCCUUUAGGUUCGGAAUAACUCAGGGAAACUUGUGCUAAUACCGAAUGUGCCCUUCGGGGGAAAGAUUUAUCGCCUUUAGAGCGGCCCGCGUCUGAUUAGCUAGUUGGUGAGGUAAGGGCUCACCAAGGCUACGAUCAGUAGCUGGUCUGAGAGGAUGACCAGCCACAUUGGGACUGAGACACGGCCCAAACUCCUACGGGAGGCAGCAGUGGGGAAUCUUGCGCAAUGGGCGAAAGCCUGACGCAGCCAUGCCGCGUGGAUGAUGAAGGUCUUAGGAUUGUAAAAUCCUUUCACCGGUGAAGAUAAUGACUGUAGCCGGAGAAGAAGCCCCGGCUAACUUCGUG